UGCGGAGGGAGCUAGCGUUGUUCGGAAUUACUGGGCGUAAAGCGCGCGUAGGCGGCUUUGUAAGUUAGAGGUGAAAGCCUGGAGCUCAACUUCAGAAUUGCCUUUAAGACUGCAUCGCUUGAAUCCGGGGAGAGGUGAGUGGAAUUCCGAGUGUAGAGGUGAAAUUCGUAGAUAUUCGGAAGAACACCAGUGGCGAAGGCGGCUCACUGGACCGGCAUUGACGCUGAGGUGCGAAAGCGUGGGGAGCAAACAGG
rnacentral:rRNA from 1 species